rnacentral:rRNA from 1 species
GUGAGGAAUAUUGGUCAAUGGGCGAAAGCCUGAACCAGCCAUGUCGCGUGAAGGAUGAAGGUCCUAUGGAUUGUAAACUUCUUUUGCAGGAGGGUAAAGUGAGCUACGUGUAGUUCAUUGCAAGUACCCUGCGAAUAAGCAUCGGCUAACUCCGUGCCAGCAGCCGCGGUAAUACGGAGGAUGCGAGCGUUAUCCGGAGUUAUUGGGUUUAAAGGGUGCGUAGGCGGACUAAUUAGUCAGCGGUGAAAUUUUGCGGCUCAACCGUAAAACUGCCGUUGAAACUGUUAGUCUUGAGUGCGGUAGAGGUAGGCGGAAUGUGUGGUGUAGCGGUGAAAUGCUUAGAUAUCACACAGAACACCGAUUGCGUAGGCAGCUUACUGGAGCGCAACUGACGCUGAGGCACGAAAGCGUGGGGAUCGAACAGGAUUAGAUACCCCAGUAGUCC